CAUUAUCUACAAGCGUCUUCCGGGAGCGCGUACCAAAUUGCUCAAAAGCAAGAUAGGCAACCAAACAUGCAGCGGAUGUGUGAUGUGUCAUUUUGGAGGUUAGAUGUUUUCGUUUUGUGUUGAGAUGAUAAUAUAAAAUGAUAAUAAUAUAUAAAUUAUUUGGGUAUUGAGGUACACUUAAUAAUUUUUUAAUUUUUAUCAGUUUUUACUUUUGCAUUUAAUCAAACGCAUACCAUACAAUCCAUAUAAUUAGGUCUUAUAUGUGUCUUGUGAGGGCAGGAACUUUGUGAGGACCUUUUUAUCUUGUACUGGCUUUAGUGUGAAUAUGAAGGAAAAGAAAUAAAAUGUUCUGGUUGCGGAAAGACUUUUAGUAAAAAAUGGAAUUUAAAAAACCAUAUCAAAAAGAAACACUCCACAGAGGAAGAUGUAUUUUUAGAAAAGCAGAGAGAAGGACAGUUUGCAUGCACUAUUUGUAAUAAAUCAUUUAGAAAUUUAAGACAAUUUAAAUACUAUAAAAAAACAUGCAGGCACCCAUAACGAGACCCAAAAUCUUAUAAAUCCGUCAGAACAAAGUAACAAGAAAUGUCCACUUUGUGAUUAUUCAACUGUUGUGACAAUAGAUAUGCAUAAACAUUUUGAAAAUGUCCAUGAACUAGCUUUGACAUUUUUUAAUAAAACAUUUACAUCUUCUCUUGAAACAGAGACUAGUUCAUCUUUUGUGAUGAAGACGAGGUACUUUUAAUGCUAAAAAUCACAAAGUUUUAUUAUAUUAUUGUCAUAGAUCAGGUUCUUUUAAUUCCACUAGUAAAGGAAUACAUCACAUUAAGAUACAAGGUAGCAAUACAAUGAAUGAGUAUUGUCCAGCAUCAAUAAAACUUAUUAUUCAGUCUAACGGAAGUUGUGAAAUUACUUUCUUAGAGACACAUGUUGGCCACCUAUUUUUAACAAAAAAUGAAAGACAAUCAUUAGCUGCAAAGAUGGCUCUAAAAAUUCCAAUCAAUCAAAUUUUGAAUGAUGUACAAGAUUCAUUGCAUACUGACUCCCAGUUACAAAGAAUCCACCUUCUUAAGUAGAAAGAUCUUUAUAAUAUAGAGAAGAGCUUUAAUUUACAGUCAACAAUUAUUCGGCAUCAAAAUGAUGCAGUAAGUGCUGAUUCCUGGGUAAAAGAAAUGCUAUAUAAAGCACAGCAAACCUAUUCAGAUAGAUAUACAGAACUGAAAUAUAAAGACUUCGUUUUGAUUAUUAUGACUCCCGGGCAAGA